UUUGCUUCUCCUUUCCUUGUGCUUCAUUACUUUGGAAGAGGCAAAGGAAGGGGGAGUAUG
rnacentral:miRNA from 1 species